UGCAACAUCAUGCUUGGCUUAUUUUUGUGUUUUUUUUUUAGAGAUGAGUUUUCACCACGUUGUCUAGGCUGGUCUUGAACUCCUGGGCUCAAGAAAUCCACCCACCUCAGCCUCCCAAAGUGAUUUCUACCCUGCAACUAACCUUACAAAGCGGCCACAAUGAUCUAUAAAGGCUACUGACAUAUUCCUCCCCUCUCCAAUUCCUCAUCCGUGUGAGCUUGGAUUAUCUUCAUAUAUUUCUGCCAAACAGCGUUUCACAGCAAAUUAAAUGCCGAAGCAGAUGAAAGAAGCUGACUGUCUUCUAUUUGGCCAGACACUAAGAAGAUUUGCAAAGUAAUGAUUUAGUUUUCUCACUAAAAUUUUUUUGUGUCUUGAGAAAUAUAGUCAUUUCUAAUAAAAUGUAUGUUUCUAUGUGAAUAUUCAAAGGGGUCCUUGUUAUUUUAAAACAAAUAAAUAUUUUUAACAAUUCUCAUUUAAUUUUUAAUAUCUAUGUUAUUGUUAGAGGAAAUCUUCAUAAAUAAAAGCUCUUAGGAUUUUCAGUAAUUAUGCAGACACCAAAAGGUGGAGAAAACAAAUGUAUAACUGACAUCAACAAUAUGGAUAGAUUUUAUUAACAUAAUAAGGAGUAAACAUAAGUUUUGGAAGACUGCUAUGAUGUCCUUUUUAAAAAUGACGUUUUUUUUUAGAGCAGUUUUAGGUUCACAGCAAUAUUGAGAAGAAGGUACAGAAAUGUUUCAUAUACCUUCUGCCCUGGGACGUACAUAGCCUCCACUAUUAUCAACGUUUUCCACCAGAGUGGUACAUUUGUUACAAUUGAUGAACUUACACUGGCACAUCCUAAUUACCCAAAGUCUGUAGUUUACAUUAGAGUUCACCCCUAAUGUUGUACUUUCUAUGUGUUUGGAUGGAUGUAUAAUGAUAGUUAUUCACCAUUAUAGUAUCAUACAGAGUAGUUUCAGUCUCCUAAAAAUUCUCUGUGCUCUAUGUAUUCAUCACCCUGCCUCAGACUCUGGCAACCCCUGAUUUUUUCACUGUCUCUACAAUUUUGCUUUUUCCAGAAUGUCAUAUAGCUGGAAUAAUGCAGUAUGUACCCCUUUCAGACUGGCUCCUUUCACUUAGUUAUAUGCCUUUAAGUUUCCUCCAUGGCUUAAUAGCACAUUUCUUUUCAGUGCUGAAUAAUAUUUCAUUGUCUGAAUGUACUAUAGCUUAUUCAUUCAUCUACUGAGAACAUUUUGAUUGCUUCUAAGUUUUGGCAGUUAUGAAUGAAGCUGCUAUAAACAUUGGUGUGCAGGUUUUUGUGUAGACAUCAGUUUUUAACACCUUUGGGUAAAUACCAAGGAGCACAGUUGCUGGAUCCUAUGAUAGGAGUAUGUUUAGUUCUGUAAGAAACUGCUACACUGUCUUCCAAAGUAGCUGUACCAGGCUGGAGUGCAGUGGUGCCAUCUCGGCUCACUGCAAACUUCGCCUCCCCGGUUCAUGUGAUCCUCAUGCCUCAGCCUCCCAAGUAGCUGGGAGUACAGGUGCGUGCCACCACGCCCAGCUAAAUUUCUUUUCUUUUUUUGUGGGGGAGAAAGGGAGUUUUGCCACAUUGGCCAGGCUGGUCUCAAACUCCUGGCCUAAGGUGAUCCAUCCAUCUCGGCCUCCCAUAGUGCUAGGAUUACAGGCAUGAGCCACUGUGCCUGGUCAAUGAUAUCUUGUUGUUGUUCUAAUUUGCAUUUCCUUGAUGACAUAUGAUGUGGGCAUCUUUUCAUAUGUUUACUUGUCAUCUAUAUAUCUUUUUUGGUGAGAUGUUGUCAAGGUCUUUGGCCCAUUUUUUUAAAAAUUGAGAAAAAUUGUAUUUAUAAUAUACAACAUGAUAUUUUGACAAUGUAUACAUUUAGAAUGGUUAAAUCGAGCUAAUUAGCAUAUGCAUUACCUCACAUACUUGGCGGUGUAUAUAGUCAAUUUUUGUAAAUAUUCUGUAUGUGAUGUGAAGGAUGUGCUUUGCAGAUUGUUGUCGCAGGUCUAUAAAUGUGUGUUACAUCAAUUG
rnacentral:lncRNA from 1 species